GAUGAACGCUGGCGGCGUGCCUAAUACAUGCAAGUCGAGCGAACAGACGAGGAGCUUGCUCCUCUGACGUUAGCGGCGGACGGGUGAGUAACACGUGGAUAACCUACCUAUAAUACUGGGAUAACUUCGGGAAACCGGAGCUAAUACCGGAUAAUAUAUUGAACCGCAUGGUUCAAUAGUGAAAGACGGUUUUGCUGUCACUUAUAGAUGGAUCCGCGCCGCAUUAGCUAGUUGGUAAGGUAACGGCUUACCAAGGCAACGAUGCGUAGCCGACCUGAGAGGGUGAUCGGCCACACAAGGACGGAGACAUGGUCAAGACUCCUACGAGAGGCAGCAGUAGGGGAUAAUCCGCAAUAGGAGAAAGCGUGACGGAGCAACGCAGAGAGAGUGAUGAAGGGCUUCGGAUCGUAAAACUCUGUUAAUAGAGAAGAACAAAUGUGUAAGUAACUAUGAACGGCUUGACGGGAAAUAAUAAGAAAGCCACGGAUAAAGAAGGG
rnacentral:rRNA from 1 species